UACGUAGGGUGCGAGCGUUGUCCGGAAUUAUUGGGUGUAAAGGGCUCGUAGGCGGUUUGUCGCGUCGGGAGUGAAAACUCAGGGCUUAACCCUGAGCCUGCUUCCGAUACGGGCAGACUAGAGGUAUGCAGGGGAGAACGGAAUUCCUGGUGUAGCGGUGAAAUGCGCAGAUAUCAGGAGGAACACCGGUGGCGAAGGCGGUUCUCUGGGCAUUACCUGACGCUGAGGAGCGAAAGUGUGGGGAGCGAACAGG
rnacentral:rRNA from 1 species